UUGAUCCUGGCUCAGGAUGAACGCUGGCGGUAUGCUUAACACAUGCAAGUCGAACGGGAUGCUUAGGCAUCUAGUGGCGGACGGGUGAGUAACGCGUGAGAAUCUGGCUCCAGGUCGGGGAUAACAGUUGGAAACGACUGCUAAUACCGGAUGUGCCGAAAGGUGAAAGAUUUAUUGCCUGGAGAUGAGCUCGCGUCUGAUUAGCUAGUUGGUGGUGUAAGGGACCACCAAGGCGUCGAUCAGUAGCUGGUCUGAGAGGAUGAUCAGCCACACUGGGACUGAGACACGGCCCAGACUCCUACGGGAGGCAGCAGUGGGGAAUUUUCCGCAAUGGGCGAAAGCCUGACGGAGCAAUACCGCGUGAGGGAGGAAGGCUCUUGGGUCGUAAACCUCUUUUCUCAAGGAAGAAGAAAGUGACGGUACUUGAGGAAUAAGCAUCGGCUAACUCCGUGCCAGCAGCCGCGGUAAUACGGAGGAUGCAAGCGUUAUCCGGAAUGAUUGGGCGUAAAGGGUCUGCAGGUGGAACUGAAAGUCUGCUGUUAAAGAGUUUGGCUUAACCAAAUAAAAGCGGUGGAAACUACAGAACUAGAGUGCGGUAGGGGCAAAAGGAAUUCCUGGUGUAGCGGUGAAAUGCGUAGAUAUCAGGAAGAACACCGGUGGCGAAAGCGUUUUGCUAGACCGUAACUGACACUGAGGGACGAAAGCUAGGGGAGCGAAUGGGAUUAGAUACCCCAGUAGUCCUAGCCGUAAACGAUGGAUACUAGGCGUGGCUUGUAUCGACCCGAGCCGUGCCGGAGCUAACGCGUUAAGUAUCCCGCCUGGGGAGUACGCACGCAAGUGUGAAACUCAAAGGAAUUGACGGGGGCCCGCACAAGCGGUGGAGUAUGUGGUUUAAUUCGAUGCAACGCGAAGAACCUUACCAAGACUUGACAUCCUGCGAAUCCUGGUGAAAGCUGGGAGUGCCUUAGGGAGCGCAGAGACAGGUGGUGCAUGGCUGUCGUCAGCUCGUGUCGUGAGAUGUUGGGUUAAGUCCCGCAACGAGCGCAACCCUCGUUUUUAGUUGCCAGCAUUAAGUUGGGCACUCUAGAGAGACUGCCGGUGACAAACCGGAGGAAGGUGAGGAUGACGUCAAGUCAGCAUGCCCCUUACGUCUUGGGCUACACACGUACUACAAUGCUACGGACAGAGGGCAGCGAGCCAGGGAUGGCAAGCGAAUCCAGAAACCGUAGCUCAGUUCAGAUCGAAGGCUGCAACUCGCCUUCGUGAAGGAGGAAUCGCUAGUAAUUGCAGGUCAGCAUACUGCAGUGAAUUCGUUCCCGGGCCUUGUACACACCGCCCGUCACACCAUGGAAGUUGGUCACGCCCGAAGUCAUUACCCCAACCGAAAGGAGGGGGAUGCCUAAGGUAGGACUA
rnacentral:rRNA from 1 species